GCUAAUGAUGAGUGAAUUGUCGCCCCAGUCUUAUGCAAAUGCAUUUGAUGACUGACAUGCAACUGAAGC